AUCCUCCCACCCUUUGUGUACCUACCUCUGUUGCUUUGGCGGGCCGCGGUUCUCCGCGGCCGCCCCCCUCCCCGGGGGGUGGCCAGCGCCCGCCAGAGGACCAUCAAACUCCAGUCAGUAAACGAUGCAGUCUGAAAAACAUUUAAUAAACUAAAACUUUCAACAACGGAUCUCUUGGUUCUGGCAUCGAUGAAGAACGCAGCGAAAUGCGAUAAGUAAUGUGAAUUGCAGAAUUCAGUGAAUCAUCGAAUCUUUGAACGCACAUUGCGCCCUUUGGUAUUCCGAAGGGCAUGCCUGUUCGAGCGUCAUUACAACCCUCAAGCUCUGCUUGGUAUUGGGCACCGUCCUUUGCGGGCGCGCCUCAAAGACCUCGGCGGUGGCGUCUUGCCUCAAGCGUAGUAGAACAUACAUCUCGCUUCGGAGCGCAGGGCGUCGCCCGCCGGACGAACCUUCUGAACUUUUCUCAAGGUUGACCUCGGAUCAGGUAGGGAUACCCGCUGAACUUAAGCAUAU
rnacentral:rRNA from 1 species